UGGGGAAUUUUGGACAAUGGGCGAAAGCCUGAUCCAGCAAUGCCGCGUGUGUGAAGAAGGCCUUCGGGUUGUAAAGCACUUUUGUCCGGAAAGAAAUCCUUGGCUCUAAUACAGUCGGGGGAUGACGGUACCGGAAGAAUAAGCACCGGCUAACUACGUGCCAGCAGCCGCGGUAAUACGUAGGGUGCAAGCGUUAAUCGGAAUUACUGGGCGUAAAGCGUGCGCAGGCGGUUUGCUAAGACCGAUGUGAAAUCCCCGGGCUCAACCUGGGAACUGCAUUGGUGACUGGCAGGCUAGAGUAUGGCAGAGGGGGGUAGAAUUCCACGUGUAGCAGUGAAAUGCGUAGAGAUGUGGAGGAAUACCGAUGGCGAAGGCAGCCCCCUGGGCCAAUACUGACGCUCAUGCACGAAAGCGUGGGGAGCAAAACAGGAUUAGAUACCCUGGUAGUCCACGCCCUAAAACGAUGUCAACUAGUUGUUGGGGAUUCAUUUCCUUAGUAGCGUAGCUAACGCGUGAAGUUGACCGCCUGGGGAGUACGGUCGCAAGAUUAAAACUUAAAGGAAUUGACGGGGUCAUAGCUG
rnacentral:rRNA from 1 species